rnacentral:rRNA from 1 species
AGAGUUUGAUUAUGGCUCAGGAUGAACGCUGGCGGCGUGCUUAACACAUGCAAGUCGAACGAAGCAACUUCUGCUUGCAAGAAAGUUGACUUAGUGGCGGACGGGUGAGUAACGCGUGGGUAACCUGCCUCAUACAGGGGGAUAACAGUUGGAAACGACUGCUAAGACCGCAUAACCCGCUAGUGUCGCAUGACACGGACGGAAAAUAUUUAUAGGUAUGAGAUGGGCCCGCGUCUGAUUAGCUAGUUGGUAAGGUAACGGCUUACCAAGGCGACGAUCAGUAGCCGACUUGAGAGAGUGAUCGGCCACAUUGGGACUGAGACACGGCCCAAACUCCUACGGGAGGCAGCAGUGGGGAAUAUUGGACAAUGGGGGAAACCCUGAUCCAGCGAACCGCCGCGUGAGUGAAGAAGUAUUUCGGUAUGUAAAGCUCUAUCAGCGGGGAAGAUAAUGACAGUACCUGACUAAGAAGCCCCGGCUAACUACGUGCCAGCAGCAGC